rnacentral:rRNA from 1 species
GACGAACGCUGGCGGCGUGCCUAAUACAUGCAAGUCGAACGCAGUGGGGACGGGUGCGUAACACGUGGGUAAUCUCCCAGCAGAGGGGAUAACCCUUGGAAACAGGUGCUUACGCGCUACUGAUGGAUGGACCCGCGGUGCAUUAGCUUGUUGGUGAGGUCACGGCUCACCAAGGCCACGAUGCAUAGGUGCCCUGAGAGGGUGAUCGGCCACACUGGAACUGAGACACGGCCCAGACUCCUACGGGAGGCAGCAGUAGGGAAUCUUCGGCAAUGGACGAAAGCCUGACCGAGCAAUGCCGCGUGAGUGAAGAAGGUUUUCGGAUCGUAAAACUCUGUUGUUAGGGAAGCGGUAUCUAACCAGAAAGCCACGGCUAACUACGGGCCAGCCGCCGCGGUAAUUC